rnacentral:lncRNA from 1 species
GGAGUUAAAAUAACCGUUAAAUCAUGAUUUUUCUUUUUAUAACCGUCGAAAGGUUUUGUCCCGUUACUUGAUCUCUAUAUGUUUGUUUUUGCAAUUUUUGGUGUAUGCGAUCUCAAAGUAUAUGCAAUCAUGUUUGACGAUUGGAUCGUUGAAACUAGUUUCCUAGAAUGCGUAUCCCAUCAAAACAAUAGAAUCACUAACAUUUAAGAGUUUAUUCAUAAUUUCAUUAAGUAUAAUAUAAGAUUUUGUGGUAUCCACUAGUGUAAAUAUUUUAAACUGAAGAUCGAAUUCAUUCAUUGUAUUCAUAUAGGGUCAAGGAGUGUAGCUAUAAAGAAUCAUCAAAAUCGGAGUUAAAAUAGCCGUUAAAUCGUGAUUUUUCUUUUUAUAACCCUCGAAAAGUUUUGUCCCGUUACUUGAUCUUUGAAUGUUUGUUUUUUGCAAUUUUUGGCUUAUACGAUCUUGAAAAAUAUACAAACAUGUUUGACGGUUGGAUAGUUGAAACUAGUUUCGUAGAAUGCGUAUCCCAUCAAAACAAUAGAUUCACUAACACUUAAAAGUUUAUUCAUACUAUCAUUAAGUAUAACAUAAGAUUUUGUGGUAUCCACUAGUGUAAAUAUUUUAAAUUGAAGAUCGAAUUCAUUCAUUGUAUUCAUGCAGGGUCAAUGAGUGUAGCUAUAAAAAAUCAUCAAAAUCGAAGUUAAAAUAACCGUUAAAUUGUGAUUUUUCUUUUUAUAACCCUCGAAAAGUUUUGUCCCGUUACUUGAUCUCUAUAUGUUUGUUUUUUUCAAUUUUUGGCAUAUGUGAUCUCGAAGUAUAUACAAACAUAUUUGAUGGUUGGAUCAUUGGAUCGUUGAAACUAGUUUCGUAGAAUGCGUAUCCCAUGAAAACAAUAGAUUCACUAACACUUAAGAGUUUAUUCAUAAUUUCAUUAAGUAUAACAUAAGAUUUUGUGGUAUCCACUAGUGUAAAUAUUUUAAAUUGAAGAUCGAAUU